GGUAAAAUGGCUGAGAGAUAGGCAUUAGACUGUAAAUCUAAGAACAGAGGGAAGUCCUCUUUUUACCA
rnacentral:tRNA from 1 species